rnacentral:snRNA from 1 species
AGCUUUGCACAGUAGCAGUAUCAUAGCCAAUGAGGUUUAUCAGAGGUUCAAUUACUGCUAAUUGAAAACUUUUCUGAAGAGGAAUAAGAGGUCCAAAACCAAGUAAGUUAUGGGAAUGUAAUGUACA